rnacentral:rRNA from 1 species
GACUUAUGUUCAGUGGCGAGGUUAACCGUUUAGGGGAGCCGUAGGGAAACCGAGUCUGAAUAGGGCGAUUUAGUCGCUGGGCAUAGACCCGAAACCGGGCGAUCUAUCCAUGAGCAGGUUGAAGGUUGAGUAACAUCAACUGGAGGACCGAACCCACUGUCGUUGAAAAGCCAGGGGAUGACUUGUGGAUCGGAGUGAAAGGCUAAUCAAGCCCGGAGAUAGCUGGUUCUCCCCGAAAGCUAUUUAGGUAGCGCCUCGGACGAAUACCACAGGGGGUAGAGCACUGUUUCGGCUAGGGGGUCAUCCCGA